UCCGCUAUCGUAUAGGUGGUCAGUAUACGCGGCUCUCAAGCCCGAUCGUAUGGAUAACCCGCGGGACCAGGGUUCGAGUCCCUGUGGCGGAA
rnacentral:tRNA from 1 species